rnacentral:hammerhead_ribozyme from 1 species
AUCCGGCUAACGAGUCCCAAAUAGGACGAAACACGCGCACCGGAU